ensembl:lncRNA
AUCUACCUUGUCACAUUCGUCUUGAAUAUUUCUGAGAGCCUGCACACGAUUUCUAACUGCCCGAGGCAGCUGAUCCACGAAACUUCUACCUGACGGAGUCCGCCGCACACUUCUGGAAGGCCCAGGUACACUUACACUUCUAUAGAAGGGGCUGCGGCCAUUGCUGCUGCUGCUACUAGAGCUGCUGCUGUCAGAUUCGUCCCCAGAAUCGCUAGACGAGAUAGCUACCAUCUCUUCAUCCACCCCCUGGGCGGCAGGCUCCGAGACCCUGUUAGGAUCCGCUUCUGCCAUUCUGCAAGCCUGCAAACCUCUUAGGGUGGUCACUACCGCGUGCCCAGAGAUGGGUAGAAAAUGACUCACGGAUGCUUGGAUGCUGGCGGCGGAAGCCGGGGCUGAGGAGGUGGCAGCGGAGAAGGCAGCAGGAGCGCUGGGCGGGGCGCGGCUGGGCCGAGGUGAUGGCACCGGAGGCGGCGGCGGCGGCGGCGGCGGAGGCCUGGGCGAAAGAGGCGGAGGCCAAGCCUCUCUGAGCUGCAGCUGCGGCGGACUGAGGCGUGACGCAGCUGAAUGUCGCAUUGCGGUUCUUUUCUGCAACAGAACGACUCCCUUGUUACAACCAAAAAGACCAGUGUUUACUUUUCAUUAAAAGGUAAGGAACAUAUUUAGCCCAUUUUUAUGAAUGACAAGCAUUACCUAUCUAUAUUUGAAUAAAAAUUCACAAGAUGUAGUCUUUUAAUUGGAAGAUAUCUUGUUAGUUCCAUGGAAACAGAAAUUCCCACGGAGGUGAUUUGGAAUACUAAUGUAGAAAAUAACCUAAUUAAUCACAUUCAUUUUUCUAAACUUCUCAUAGACUACAAGUAACAAAUUAAAUAUACAAUAUGAUGAAUUAUUCAUUUCAAAUGAGGAAAAGGAUUAAAGUUAGAUUAACCCUUAUCUUUCCUUUUUAUUACAGAAUUUUGUGCUUAUUUAGUCAUAUUUUUUAAAAAUUAGGAAACACUUUUAUUUCUAUUUUGUAAAUGAAUUUACUUUUAUUAUUUAUUCCUGAUUGUCAAAGUAUGUUAGCAUUGUAAGGAAAAACACAGCAUAGAAAAUUUCAAUGAUGAUACAAACACAGUCUUAAUCAAGUGAUAGCCACUGUUAGAAUUUUGAUGCAUUUCCUUCCAGAAUUUUCUUUGUAAAUAUACACGCAUGCCUGUUUACAUAUGCUGUUUUAUCUAUGUGAUACCAUAUUGUGUUUUGUAAUCUGCUCAUUUAUCAAUUAAUUGUGGCUAUACUUUCACAGUAAAUGGUUGAACAUAUCAUUUUAAAAUAGAUGCAUAUUCCAUGGAAAUAUUUCCCUUAAUUUAACCAGAUUCCUAUUGUACGGCAGCUACUUCUCAUACUACCUCUCUACUAACACACACAUAUUUUUCCUGUUACAAAAUAGUUAUCCCAUAUACCUACUCUAUGCACUUGUAAAAAUUAGCCAUAUGAUAAAUUCCUAGAAAUGAGAGUCCUGAAAUAAACUGCCUGCUCAUUUUACUCUUUGAUACAUAGUGCCAAACGUCUCUCCAGAAAAAAUUAUCACAAUUUGCAAUUACACCAACAAUGCAUCAGUUCAUUUAUUUAGUCAUUCAACUAUUAUAUUUUUGUGCCUGCCGUGUGCCAGGCAUAUGUGGUAGAGGAUGAUGAUAUAAUGCUGAAUAAAACUUACUGGGUGCAUAUCCUUUCAUUUUUAUAAUUUUAGUUAAAAUAUAUACUAUGGAAACAAUGAUUUAAAUCAAUGAAGCUAUGCUGUAAAUAUUCUACAAAUUAUUAUUUUCCCUUAAAAUGAUGGACUUAUUUUGUUAAUGAAGGAACUUAUAUUUUAUAGUACUUUAAUGGUUUAAUAUACAUGUUAAAUUUUGUGCCAACAAGAAUUAGUAUUUUGAAGUGAGCAAUGAGUUUGGGAUUCAGAUUUUUUAAUGUAUUUUUAUUAGCUAGUUAAUUUUCUGAGUAUCACUUAUUUGAUAAUCUUUCUGUCUCACACUUAUUUGAAGUGCUACCUUUACGGUAUUAACUAAAUCAUUUGGUUGUUUCUGAAUUCUGUUUUCUGAUCCAUUCUCCAUAAAGUUAGUUAAAGUGUUAGGUGCUCAGUCAUGUCCAACUCUUUGCAACCCCAUGGACUGUAGCAUGCCAGGGUCUUCUGUCCAUGGAAUUCUCCAGGCAAGAAUACUGGAGUAGGUAGCCAUUCCCUUCUCCAGGGGAUCUUCCCCACCCAGGGAUCAAACCUAGGUCUCCUGCACUGUGGGCAGAUUCUUUACCAUCUGAGCCACCAGGGAAGCCUGAUCCAAUCUCCAUAAUUUAUCUGCAAAUAACUAAGGAGG